UUGCCUCGAGAGAUCGAAUCGAUAACCGAUAAUUCUUGGUGAAACUUUGCAGGGAACAUCGUAUGUACGAUUUGUUUCAUCUUAUGUUUUAACAAAUUUCGCGUGGAAUUAAAACUAAAUAGAAAUCUAAAACUUUGUGGCGAAGAACGUGAAAAGAGAAAGGAGAAAAAUUAAACAAAGGUAAAUAUCAUGGAAAGGCAACAAGGAUCUCUUUCGUGUUCAACGAGUGUCCGAUUGAAGAGUGCUACGCUAAAGAAAGUUUUAAAAGCAUGCCUUUAAUUCCAUUCAAUGCUAUAGCUCGCCAUGGAAUGAACAUUGAAAACACAGCCACUGUGAAACUAAUGAAAUUGAUUUGCACCGUUCCUCCCCGAGAAUCGACUUGAAUAAAAAGAUUCGAUUCUGAGAGCAUCGAACGGUUUAUUCAUUACGUAAUGAGAUUACUGCGAAGAGAGAUAUUGUAUCACGAGCUACGUAGUUUCUCCUCGCCUAUAUCGAACAUCUUCGCGGAAACGGAAGUUCGACAAGGCACUGCUCUACUCCCUGCCUCUUCGAGACUACGCAUUUUAAUGAAGAUUAUUAAAAUGAGAUGGAGCUUAAGAAGUUCCGAAACAAUAUCUUAACGCGACUCGAGUUGCGUGGCGAAGAUCAGUGGUUUAAAGCGUGGAAGAGAAUCUUUUUCAAAACGAAUUUUUAUCAAGUAAAUAAAAUGAAGAUUUAAAACGGUAACGGAUGGAAAAUUCAUCUUUUCGUUUCGAAAUUUAAGUAAAAUUUAAAGUAAUCCAAUUUUUAAUAACAUUAUCGACAAGAAAAGAAUUAGAAAAUUUAACCUAACCUAAUUUAAAUUGAGAUAUUCUCAAACUCGAUUUUUCAGUGUUUUUGGCUUUGAAAAAAUUCUGAAAUUGCUUAUCAAGAUAUUUAAUAUGGAAUAAAACAAAUUAUCGUUGAAUUAAAGUUGAACAAAACUUUUUUCCAACAAUCUAACCUAAUUCAACUCGGAACAUUUAUUCCAAAACUCUUUUUCUUAUCUUUUUUUUUGGCUUUGAAAAAACUUUGAAAAUACCUUUAAUUUUGAAUACAAAUCAUUAAACGAGAGUUUAAAACUUUUUCGAUAAAAAUAAAACCUCGUUUCCAAGUUAUUUGACGAUAAAAAUUUCCCUUUGAUCUUCGGUUAUCUACGACAAGAGUUAAUGAUAAAAUAAACAGAACGAAAAAAAGAAAAAAAAAGGAAAUCCUUGGCGAAGAGAAAUUCCUUUGCAACAACGUCUGUUUUGGACGACAGGUUUGAAAGAAAAAAAAAAAAUUGGAAAGAAGAGAAAAUAGAAAAAAAAGUAUAAACAGGCGAAGCUUAAUUAAAUUUCACGAAUCGUUUUCAUACUACGGCUCGAUUCAUCAGGUGACUUCGCGCAAUCAAACCUCUCUGGCUUUUAUGGAAAUUUGGCCGAAAACCCUGGUGUUGGACAACUAAAUUCGUAACAAAUGAAAUUUCGAGGAUUACAAGCCGCUGAAACGUGAGAAAAAUAUUAAUCCGAAUGGAAACAUAUUUCGCGAUAAUUACCCGUUUGUCAACAAGCGAAUAACAAGAGUGUUGUGUGAUUGUGGUUUUCGUACAAGAAGAAAAGAAUGAAAAGGAAAAAGGAUAAAAAUUUCAAGUGAACGAAAAUAGAGUAAAAUUUUGGAACGAAUGGAAAGCUAGACGAGUUUUCUUUCGUACAACCAUUCAACGGUUCUCAAUUCAAUGUUUCUCAAGCAGAGAAAGAAAAAUAAAAAUUCCGAUUAUUAAAAAUUCAAAAACUCGAAUUUAACGGAACAGAAGGUUAGAUGAUUGAUCAGCCGACGUUACGACAUAGAUUUCCCGUCACUUGUUCGAUUCGCAAUUCCAAGGUUUCGAUUCAAGGGUGCACCGUGUAUGCAAAUGCGUGACGAGAGAGAAAAAAAUGAAAACGAAUGAUUAGCGACUCCGCAUCGAACAAUCUCCGAGUUGGCAAGGUCUAAGUUGGCAAUUGCAUCGACUAUGUGUCAAAGCAGAUUAAUAAAGCAAACGAUAUCAUUUGCAUAAAAACCAUUCACGUCAAAUUCAAAGUGUCAAAAAAUGAGCAAAUUUAAGUAUGAAAUUUUAUCAUAAUUGCGAUAGAAGAAUAUAUUGCAAAUUUGUUUUAUAUCAAAUUCACGAUCAUUGUCCAAAGAAAUUAUUUUAUGUAUAAAGUAAAUUUACUUAAAGCCAUUUUAGGUUAGGUAGUAUAACUAGGUAUAACUUGAGUUUCACUUAUAUUUAUGGAAUUAAAUACUAUAAUAUGUAAGUCUAAGAAUAUUGUAUUUUAAAUUGGUUAGUUAGCCAAUAUUUUCAACAUUUCUUGUAUUUAACUGAUUAUUUAUUUAAAUCCGUGUGACCAUGUGAUGGUAUUCGUGCAUAACUUUUGCAUUACCGUGAUCAUAUCAUCCUUGGAUCAAUUUUUGUCCAAGAAAUUCCAUUAUUCCACGGUUAUAUAUUGUAUCAUUGAAAAAGAGAAAAUGCCAAAGUUCAUUUUUUUUUAUUCAUUUCCGGUUAACAAUCUCGGCAUAGCUUUAUCGAUCAUGCGUCACCAGGUUUGAUAUCUACAAUGGAAGAAUUAAAAUCUCAUCAAGCUUAAAGAUACGCCUGUGUGAGAAUAAAUCAGAAAAGAAAUUUUUCUCUUAAACUUCCAUUCCCUUUCUUCCUUUUUUCUCUUGCUUCUACUUUAAAAGGAGAGCAUUUUUCC